CCUACGGGCGGCAGCAGUGGGGAAUAUUGCACAAUGGGGGGAACCUUGAUGCAGCAACGCCGCGUGGGUGAAGAAGUACUCCGGUAUGUAAAGCCCUGUUAGCAGGGAAGAAAAUGACGGUACCUGACCAAGAAGCCCCGGCUAACUACGUGCCAGCAGCCGCGGUAAUACGUAGGGGGCAAGCGUUAUCCGGAUUUAAUGGGGGGAAAGGGAGCGUAGACGGCAAGGCAAGUCUGGGGUGAAAGCCCGUGGCCCAACCAGGGGAAGGCUUUGGAAACUGGGUUGGUGGAGUGCAGGAGGGGUAAGCGGAAUGCCUGGUGUAGCGGUAAAAUGCGUAGAUAUUAGGAGGAACACCAGUGGCGAAGGCGGCUUACUGGACUGUAACUGACGUUGAGGCUCGAAGGCGUGGGGAGCAAACAGGAUUAGAUACCCUUGUAGUC
rnacentral:rRNA from 1 species